AAAAUAAAAAAUAAAAAUUUUCUCACGUGAUUUUUCUAGUAUAUAUGGAAUAAUGCCAGGGUGUUGAUAUAACUGUUGCAGGUCCUAUACCAUAUGAGAUUGGUUAUCUUCCAUAUUUAGAGAAAUUGGGGCUCGGUCAAAAUAAUCUAAAUGGCCAUAUCCCAUCCUCAAUCUUCAAUAUCUCCACAAUAACAGGAUUAGAUCUCGGCUUCAAUCAGCUUUCAAGUAGCCUCCCAGCAGACAUAGGCCUUGCGCUUCCAAAACUAGAAGAGUUUGCAGCAGGAAGGAAUCACCUCAGUGGAGUAAUCCCCAAAUCCAUCUCCAAUGCUUCUAAGCUUCGGAAACUAGACCUGGGUGAGAACUCUUUUUCUGGAUUUAUUCCAACCACUCUGUGCCUCUUGACAAACCUUGAAUGGCUCGGAUUGUACAGCAAUAAUUUGACCAUUGAUACCUCUUUGCUGUGUCUUUGCUGAUUGAGAUUGAGAUGGGUGGGGAACUACUGAGUUUCAGGAGGCCAAAGAAGGCUAAAGCUGGAGAGGAGAAAUAAUACAUUGAUAUGGGAAAGCUUCUGAAAAUGAAGCUAGAAGAGGUUUCAGGUAGGACCAUGGAGGUAUUGGUGGAUGCGGUUUCUUAGUUCGGCAGGGUUGUCCACCUUCUCCUAUACUGAGUUUGUACGAUGAAGGGGUGAACAAAAUAGCCAGGAGAUUGCCAGUGAGACGGAAGCAGCUGCUGCUGCCUACCACAUUUUCCUUGAUGUUUCUCUGCUUGGUUCCAAGUGCAUUGAGGAGGAGGACCUCAUGAGGUUCAUGAUUGAGGAAGAGGUGGAAGUUGCAUUUUUGCUGAAGAGCUCUAUAAGAUUAGCUGGUGAAGGUCUUCAACGCUCGCAGAAGGAUUAAUUCAUAGUUUAAAUGACACCAAAAAAAGCUGUAAAGCAAUUGGAUAAAUUGUGAUUAGCAUCCUGAUUGUUAUUAGCAUUGUAUUGUGGCUUCUUUUGGUGGAGAUCGCAACCACAAAAGUACAAGUCUUCCUCUCUUCGGAGCUCGUAUUGGAAAUCGCAACCAACUGAUGAGAAUUUUGGAAAAGCUAAACAUCACAUGCUCUGUGCAGCCCCCACAGAGUUAAUCUCAAUUGAACUAAAUCCGACGCUGGAUGAUCAGUUCAAUCAUAGGUAUGCAUUGCAAGCUAGCCUAGGAUUUAUGAGGUGUCAGGGUGUUGUACUCCAAUCAUUGUACCAUUAUAUGCCGUUGUUGUGUUACCUCAGCAAUCUAAUCAUGUAAUGCAGCAUAUUCUUUAUCA